UCUCAGGCUGUGGCCCUCUAGAGGGAAGCGAUUUCUGUGAUCUGAAAGAAAAGAAAAUGGUUCCCUUUAGAGGGUUACUGUUUGAGA
ensembl:miRNA MIR522 microRNA 522